GGGCCCUAGCGCGGGCUCUAGCCGGGAGCUGUAGCGUGGCUGUAGGUGUGCAUCUGUGGAGCUGGUAGAGUUCCGCAGCGCAGGAGGGAGGCUGCUGGAGGUGCACAUCAGUUACUUUGAAAUGUGGUGGAAAUGGUGAUGGAUGGGAUUUAUUCAGUCCACAUCGGUUCAGAGGCCAGCAAGGUGCUGCUGGGUGUGACUGGUGCUGGGCCAGGCAUGAUCUUGGCGUUGAGGGAGUUGAUGCCCCAGCAGGGGAGACAGGCACCAGAUGCACAAUUGUUUGACCACAGUUGGGACAAAGGCUAAGGCACGGGUUCCAGGAACUUGUAGGAUGCGGCUGUGGGAGUGGUGUCAGAUGCUGAGGGUGUGAGUUGAACUGUGGAGAAUUUCUCUGGAAAUUAGCCAGAGAAAAAGUGAGGUUCCGGGGCAGCCAGCCGUGUGCGGCUCCAGGCAGAAGAAACAGAAUGCACAGACCCUUAGUGGUAGGCGAUGAUGACGUAUAGGAGCUGAAAGAUUGUCCUGGCUAAGGCACAGAGAGCCACCGGAGAAGGGACACGGUAACGUGUAGAGGGGAGUGGAGGGUGAGGACAAGCU
rnacentral:lncRNA from 10 species